UCAAAUCCCUAACUCACGAUCCCCAAAUUCCUAAAUCCUUCUUUCCCUCUCUCAUUCCCUCUUUCCCUCAAAUCCCUAGCUCCCCCCUCUCUCUCUUUGAACUCACGCCCGACGUCUCCGCCUCCGCCUCUGCCUUCGUCUCCCGCCUCCGGUCGUCGCCGCCGCCUUCGUCUCCCGCCUCGGGUCGUCGCUGCCGCUUCGUCUCCCGCCUUCGGUCACCGUCACCGCCUCUUGAUCCGCCUCCAGUCAUCAUCGCAGCUGCCUCAAGGUCUGGUUCUUCCACCGCCCAUUUCGAUUUCCCUCUUUGCGAAAAGAAACCGUAAGGCUAAACUCCCCCCUUUCUCUCUCACUCUUCAACCAGCUCUUCUCCAAGUCCUCCUCGACUAGGUUGGUUAAGAGUUUGAUGAUUCCAUUUGUUCUAGUCAGUUUGGUAGUUAAUUAUAUGCUGUUUGAUUUUAAUCGUUUCAUACAGAGCUCAGCUCUAGGAUAAGAAUUGUGUUUGUGUCAGUUCAAUUAGAAAUCUCAACCUUCUUGAGGAUGGAUCGGUGCAUGCUUGGCUGUGCCAUAUAGGUGCUUGCAGGUUCUAAAGGAACAAUCGAAAAGCAAAAAUGAUAAUAACAAAAUAGAAUAAAAUAUAGAGAGCAAGAAAGGAAAUAAGUCGUUGAUGAUAAUUUAAUAUAAGAUAUUUUCUUGUUUGAUUCAACUGAAUAGCAAAUAAGACUGUUCGUUAAGUGACUAAAAGGCAAUGUUCAUCAGACAGGUGAAAUUGUUGCAGCCAGAGUGUUUUCGAUGUCUAGUUUUAGACAUUUACUUGAAUGUGUUAUACCUAUGAGUAUCCCAUUGAAUUAUGAAUUACUAUGUCUAACUGUUAAAAGAAAAUUACUGUACAUGUAUUUUUGAUUCACACAACAAACUGUAUACUCCUAUUUUUCAUAGAUUAUGUGGAAAUUGGAAUACCACAUAAUCUUUUAAAAUGUAUAUAGAUAGAUAUAGUUUUCAGAGAGACAUGAACUUUUAAACUCUCAAAUUCUGUUUUUAUUUAUUUUCUAAAUAUAUAUUAUUUGAGGUGACUUUUUUUUUGUAACAAAACCAUAGGUAACUUGAACACAUAUUAAUCUCUAUUAUACUCGUGAAAAUCAUGUGAUUUGGAAGAUAUGAAAUGAAUGAAUAAUUGAAGUGCCCAUUUCCUCUACGUAUGUAUAUUAUAUAUAUAUAUAUGCAUUGAAAAUCCAGUAAUUUGGGAGCACAGUGAUGCCAGGGGAUUACAUGCUUGCAACUGAAGUGGGUGGGAUCAAUGAUAACCUUCCCUUAUUGUUAUCAUUAUCACUAAUUAAAAUACACUCCCAAACUCUAAUUUGAUGUUCUGAUAAAGUAGCAUGAUUUAUGAGAUAAUGAUCAUAUUACUUGCUUUACUAGCCUGCAGUUUUUUCAAGCAAAAAAAUGUCUACCAAUCUAAGCCAAUUAACCAAACAACAAGAUAUAUGAAGGUAUUGUAGGCUAGAGGGGCAAUAUAAAUAAAAUAUAUAUAAAUAUAUGAAGUGAGUGGGGGUGGGGCAAUACAUAAAUUUAUUUUUCUCAAAAGUGGGCUAUUUGGAAAUUCAGAUUCUAUUAUGAGAGGUAUGACAUGGAACUUAGGAAGUGUUGAACAUGCUAUGGUUCAAGUGUACCUUUGCUUCAAAUGUUAGCUUUUAAGAUGUUUGGACAAUCUAUACUUCCUCUUCUUGUUGUGAAAGAAAUUGGAGUACUUAUUCAUUUGUUCAUUCAUUUAGAAAGAAUAAAUUAACUUCAAAAUGUAUAUAUAGAGACUUUGAUCUUUGUAAAUGUGAAUAAAUGCGCUUUAUGUCCUUUUUCUUUUUCUCAAAGUGCUGAAAAUUGCCAUAGUUUUCAUCCAACUCCUUAACAACACAAAAGAACAAGCAGUUUUGAAAGAUAGGAAAUAGAUUCACUAGGAUUUGUGGCCUUAUCUAUAAUUCAAUAUCAUUAAAGUUUGUACCAAUUUGUUGUAUUGCUUGACCUUUUUAUUCUUUUUGUGAAAAAUCAGUCAUUAUUCCUUUUGCUUUCCAGCACUUCCAUGAAACUUUGAUAUGCUCGCUCUAGUCAAUUGAUUUUAACUUGUUGAUUAUGUCUUGAUUCUUUAAUUCAUGAUUACUUAAAUGUUAUUUUUACUUGUAGGUGUUUCAAGUAUGAAGCUUUAGAAGUUAUAGUGGUUUUCUUAUUGCAAUUAUUUUGUAUAGCUAUGCUAUGUUGUUGUAUUGCUAGUUUGUUUGAGGAUUAGAAUAGUGUUUUCCUUGCUUAAGCUUUUGUGUACUACCUAUCAAUUAUUGUUUAGUUUAAUAUUGUUAUACCAAGCUGGCGCUUAAUCGUUACCAACACUAUUUUUAUCAAAGCAUGGAAUGACUAUUUAAAAUCACUGCCUUCUCUAGCCCCAGAUUUUCCUUGCCUCUUCCGCCAUUAAAUUGCUGAUUUUUUGGUCUGAUCACUAGCAAGCAGUUGCUCUGUAUGAUCUAUAUUGCACUCCUUUGAAGUUAUGUUCAUAUACAAGUUAAGGUUGAAUGUGGUAUAUAUCUCGAUACAUUUGCCCAAUGAUGGAAAUCUUUAUUUAUUUUGCGGUCUUAUGGACAACACAACACUGCCAAGCCAAACGAGGCCUUAGUCGUGAACAGUUGCCUCUACUGCUAUGGCUACCUUCUCUUUCUACUUUCUUUCUUUUAAACACACUCUCUCACACACACACUAAUAGUUCCUUGGAUGUGUUUAUUGUAGUAUACAAGCAAAUAGCAUUUUCAUGCAUAUAUUCCUUAGAGAUGAUUAUUGGUAGAGGUAUUUGAUGACUUAUGGAGAUAAAUCAUUGAUGAAUUGAUCAAAGAUGUUUGGGAUCUGAAGGAAUCCGAAUAUGAUUGAUGUUCUUUGUGGUGUUACUAUUUAGAUUUGUUUUUUCUCACUUGAGAUUCAUUAUUUUAUCAUUUAUAUUUUUGAGUGUCUUGUGAAAAACAAUAGUUUUAAAAAUAACAUUGGAUAUUAGUGACUAAAUAUAUAUGCACUGGGCUUAGGGUAGUUUAUAUACCUAUUUUGUCAAUGUUGGCUUACUUAGAAUGUGAGGGAGGAAAAGACAGCCUCUGAUUGUUUGACUGACCUUUUGUUCCGUGUGAGGAGGGACUUGUCAAAAAAACCAUCUUGGAUGUGUGAAGUUGUAUUUGAAGCACUCAAGGAGUAUUGGAAUACUCCAGAAUUUAAAAACAAAUCAGAAAAGGCCAAGAAAAAUCGGUCUUCAGAUGUCGGAGGUAGCAAGCAUACUUGUGGUUCCAUCUCUAUAUCAGAGCAUAAGAAGAGACUGUCUAAGCUACUUGGUCGCUCACCUACACAGGUUGAGUUAUUUAUUGCGACGCACCAAAAAAAAGAUAAAUCAGGAUUCGUUGACAAUAGGUCUGAGGAAACUUAUGCUGACUUCCAAAUGUGCUAACAUGAUGCAUCAUCACAAUCAUCAGCAGUUGGCCCGAUAGAAGAUAGUGACGCUGCUGCACAGCCUUCACAACUAGCUUUUGAUGAGACAUCAUUAUGGUUGGAGGUUGCAGGCAAGAAAAAGAAGGGUCGUGUAUAUGGGAUCGGAUCAUUAAGAGGAUUCGUCAUUGCCAUGGAUAGAUAUUACAUUGUAUUAUUUUUAUUAUUCAUGGACGAUGUAUUUUAUUAAUAUUGUAUGGAUUUCUUGUAUGAAUUUAAUAUUAUAUGGAUUUAAUAUUGUGUAUAUCAAGUUUAUAUAUUUAUACAUUA